GGAUGAUGCAGGGUGUGGCCUUGUGGCAAGAAGUAGAAGGCUGCUGCCCUGCAGGAAGGCCCAGAGUAGCCUGUGGAAGGAUGAUCUGAGCAGUGCUAGUGGGACCCUCAUAUACUAACCUAUCGAUGGCCAGUGGCCAGACAUGGAUCCAAGAUCCCCUGGUCCUCCAGCAGACCACAGAGAACAACCAAGUUGUCCCAGAACAGAAGAGAUGGUAUAACUCCUCAGGUGCCCCAGCCAACCUUCAGCCAAUGACCUAAAUAAUAAAUACUUCUUGUAUCGAG
rnacentral:lncRNA from 1 species